rnacentral:lncRNA from 1 species
GGUCUCUAGCCACAAUGCUGCGCAAAUCUUCACCCCCUGGAGUCUUCCAGCUCCCUUUCAAUUACUGAGAAGGGCUCAGGGGCUUCCUUUAUGGCAUUCAUUUCAUGUCUGGAUAUAGUAUGUGCUGCUCAUACUGGAAGCCUGCCUUGAACUGGCUAGAAUAGUCAUAAAAACUAGGCACUAGGCAAACCCUGUAACAAUCUGAGGACUUUCAAUACACAUUAGAGGUGUAUCACAGUGCAUAUGAAUUUGUAUUUGAACAAGUUCAACCAAAGAAGUAUUGAUACCACUGAAGGCAAGUUUUCACACUAACCCUGACAUUACAAGUAAAGCUAAUAAUUUCAUGAUUGAGUUUGUUAUGCUCAGUUUACUUCAAAAUCAUAGGAAUUAACAAAAAAAUUUUUUUCAAAAUAAAUUGUUUGAUUUGGUUCUAAAUGGUCACAUACAUGUGGA